CGACUCUCGGCAACGGAUAUCUCGGCUCUCGCAUCGAUGAAGAACGUAGCGAAAUGCGAUACUUGGUGUGAAUUGCAGAAUCCCGUGAACCAUCGAGUCUUUGAACGCAAGUUGCKCCSGAASCCGUCAGGCYGAGGGCACGCCUGCCUGGGCGUYWYU
rnacentral:rRNA from 1 species